GAUCCUGGCUCAGGAUGAACGCUAGCGACAGGCUUAACACAUGCAAGUCGAGGGGCAGCGGGGGUAGCGAUACCCGCCGGCGACCGGCGCACGGGUGAGUAACGCGUAUGCAACUUGCCUAUCAGAGGGGGAUAACCCGGCGAAAGUCGGACUAAUACCGCAUGAAGCAGGGACCCCGCAUGGGAAUAUUUGCUAAAGAUUCAUCGCUGAUAGAUAGGCAUGCGUUCCAUUAGGCAGUUGGG
rnacentral:rRNA from 1 species